GACGAACGCUGGCGGCGUGCCUAAUACAUGCAAGUCGAGCGCAGGAAACUGACGGAACUCUUCGGAGGGAAGGCAGCGGAAUGAGCGGCGGACGGGUGAGUAACACGUAAGGAACCUGCCUCAAGGAUUGGGAUAACUCCGAGAAAUCGGAGCUAAUACCGGAUAGUUCAUCGGACCGCAUGGUCCGUUGAUGAAAGGCGCUUCGGCGUCACCUUGAGAUGGCCUUGCGGUGCAUUAGCUAGUUGGUGGGGUAACGGCCCACCAAGGCGACGAUGCAUAGCCGACCUGAGAGGGGAGUCGGCCAAACUGGGACUGAGACACGGCCCAGACUCCUACGGGAGGCAGCAGUAGGGAAUCUUCCACAAUGGACGAAAGUCUGAUGGAGCAACGCCGCGUGAGUGAUGAAGGUUUUCGGAUCGUAAAACUCUGUUGUAAGGGAAGAACACGUACGAGAGGGAAUGCUCGUACCUUGACGGUACCUUACGAGAAAGCCACGGCUAACUACGUGCCAGCCGCCGCGGUAA
rnacentral:rRNA from 1 species